AGCAAGCAGAUCCGGGCACCCCUCCCAGGUCCUAAAGCCUGCAAAAACCCAAAGAGUUCGUGGCGCUGGUGGCUCCAGCUGUUAGUUUCCCGGGCAGUCUCCGGGUUGGAUUUGCACCCUGGGGUCUACACGGGUUAAAAACGCGGAAAAAAGGCGACGAAGAAAUACAAACUGCCAGGGUGUCGAAAUGAAAGGAGCGACUGUGAAAGGGGUAAGGAAAAAUCCAAGCCAUCUCUACGGGGAGGAUCCAGAAAGCACCAGCCGCGCCAGGGGGUCAACCAACUCCGACACCGCUCGGCGUCAGCUGGGCGCCACCAGGCGCGGACUUCGGAGCGAGGGC
rnacentral:lncRNA from 1 species